UACGAGGGGGGCGAGCGUUGUUCGGAAUUAUUGGGCGUAAAGGGUGCGUAGGCGGUUUGGUAAGUCUUGUGUGAAAUCUUCGGGCUCAACUCGAAGUCUGCACGAGAAACUGCCGGGCUUGAGUAUGGGAGAGGUGAGUGGAAUUCCCGGUGUAGCGGUGAAAUGCGCAGAUAUCAGGAGGAACACCGAUGGCGAAGGCAGCUCGCUGGGACGGUACUGACGCUGAGGCGCGAAAGCGUGGGGAGCAAACAGG
rnacentral:rRNA from 1 species